CUACAAAGACUAUGCUGUCAAUCAUUCCUGUAUAAACAGUUUCUGACAGUCAGCUCCUUGGUGGGAUGAUAGAAAUUCAAAUUCGCAAAAGGAGAUGCUAAUUCAAUAGGCUUCCCAGCAUUCCCACGCUACAGUCUCCAGUUCCAUAGGAGAAGAAGGAAGGGCCUAUUUGGGGGAGAACUGAGGGACACCUCACUCCAGAGAACCCAUCAAUUUCCUAUUAACUGGGUGGACAACUGAUUUAAUAUUAGACCCUAAAACCAGGACUACUGGGAGAUUCCAAGUGUGUUUGGCCAUGCCUCUCUCUGCUCUGCACCUGCCAAUCAUCAUUUUGGAGGCUUAUAAUUCAGUCGACUUAAUUGUUGAUUCUUCCCACCAUUUUGCUGAUUUGCAUUUGCUUUUGCAACAAAUUGCUUUUUAACAUUUCUUUUCCCUCUUGAAUUUCCCAAUUUUAAUGAAAUAUUGGGAAUAUUAGACUCUCAACUGUUCAAAGACCUCAAUUAUAAGGACUAAAAGAGUUAAAAAAAGAAAAGGACAGUGUAGAAAAAGUUCCUGUCUUCUCUGUGUUGUCCAUUCUUAAACACAUACAAUUUAAAGAAAUCCAGAAAGGGUAAGAAAUACUGAUGUAGUUUUCCCCUUGGCCUCUUCCCUUGAACCCCUCCUGUGAUCUUGCAGAUCUCUGCUGGCUGGGAUCCGAGGCACAUCUCUUUCCUCCCAGCUUCCCUGUCGGCGGGGAAGGCAGAGUUCAAGGCCCUCCACUGGAGUCACUGUGUUGUAUUUUUUUUUAGGUGCAGUGGAGGCACCUGGAUUCCACUCAGAAGGAGCAAUACUGGGAUCUCAUGCUGGAGACCUAUGGGAAAAUGGUCUCAGGAGGCAUUUCCAGUUCUAAGCCUGAUCCGACUAAUUUAACAGAGUAUGGGGAUGAGCUGGCAGGACGGCACUUUCAUGUCAGUGAGAAAAUCCCGAGGCCCACCUGCAUAGGGCUAUUGACACACAUACUUAAUCAUGGAAGAAGGACCACACAUUGGAUCUGCUGCCGUCAGUCUUGUCUGCUGUGAUGUGACAGUUUCUUUCUCAGAGAGAGUAAAGAUCAGAACAGAUCAAGCCCACUAAAGAUACAAAUAGAUCCCAUUACAGAA